AUAAAUAAACUUUAAAAAAAAAAAAAAAAAGGGAGCCGGAGUCCAGCUUGGCAGAGGCUGAGCCUGACAUGUGGCUUGUGACCUGCGAUGGAAGGAUGUCCUGCGUCACAAAACAUGCGCGACCCUGAGGAAGAACAGGCCUUUCAGUGAGCUGGAAAACGACAGGCGCCCUAAAGCAGGGGCCCAGGCUUCAGAAACUCAUGGGCCAAAGACAUCCUGGGGCAACUUUGAUUUUGCCAGCCUAAUGCACUGCCUGUUUAAUGUACUGCCGUGGAGGAGCCUACUGGUUGGUGCUGUAUGUGGACACCAACACCCUUGGAUGGCAGCAGUCCUCAGCAAGGGCAGCAGCCAUCACUUAAAUGCAUGUUGGAGAGAUGGCGUCCUAUAUGCAACCUCUUCUGGUCACGAGGGAGCAAAAUGAAUGGGCAAAUACGAAGUGGAUGACAAGCUCUCAGGCCAGACGACCCACCUGGGCCUCUACGGGAGCAACUUGGGACAGAUGCCCUGCAGCGUGGCCAGGCCCACCUGAAAGAGAAGACUUCGAGUGCCCGGCCCCUGCUUGAGACCCUCAUACUGCCACCCCAGCCCAACCCUACCUGCUCUUCAGUUCACCUCUGUGCCUUUGCACAUGCUGUCCAGUGUGGGGGAAAGGCAAACACCCAGAUGAACCUGGACUUUCUUCUAAGAUGCCAGUGCUGCAGAUUCCAUCCAUCUGCCUGUCCGUCCAUCCAUCCAUCCAUCCAUCCAUCCAUCCAUCCAUCCAUAAUCACCCAUCUAUUGUCUGCUUAUCUACCCACCCAUCAGUCUAUCUAUGGUCUGUUCAUCUAUCCAUCAGUCCACCCAUUCAUCUGUCCUGCAUCCAGUGUUAACUGAGCCUUGAUGUUGUGCUGGGCCCUCCCAGGAGUGGGCCCAUCAGGAAGUAGUGAGUUUCCAGUCCCCGAAAGUGUCCAGAAGGACACAGAGAAAGGCUGGGGUGACCAGGAGCUGCAGCUGAAUCACUUGUAGAAACCUGUUAAAAAUGUGGACCCCGGCCCAUCCCCAGACCUGUGGGAUCCGAAUCUCUGGGGCCAGCGCUCGGGACACGGCAUCUCUCCCUAGCUCCGCGGAGAUGCUGACACAUGUCACAGUCUGGGGGGCUGCCCCCCCCCCCCAUGGUCAUGCUUUCAGAUGCCAAGACACCUGUGGAGCAACCAAGCUUACGAAGUGUUAACUUAGGGAAAUCUGGCCUGUCCCCGCUGGGCACUGGGUCCUCGUGCCCCCACCCCUGGGCAGAUUCUCCAGAUCUCUUGACCCCACCUGUGAGCCUUAAAGUUGGGGUGCUCAGCUUGCGCCGGGUGAACACAGCACCUCUUCCUGUUUUGUCAGCUUUUCCUGGGAAUAAGUCUGUAAGACCUGCUUUCUAUACUGACAACAGAUACUCAAACGGAACGAAGCAUAAUGCACAACUUGCAUGAGUUUUAAAGAUAAAAUGAGACACUUCAAAGAAAUCCCAAGCUUGCGGCUGGCCCUGGAGGAUGCAUCCCCAAGCCCCAAGGGAGUGGUGAUUCUGGGGAAGACUGGGAGAAGCCGACAAGAGGAGGGGCCCUGAAGGCCACAGCCGACUGGGCCCCCAGUCCUGCCCCAGGGGCCCCUGGUCACUGCCAGCAAAGCAGCAGCGCAGACUCUGAGACACUCAGGCGGGCCCCAGCCCCUUUCCAGCAGCCUUCCCAUUGGAGCCCCAGCCCCGCCAGAUCCCAGCCAGCCCCCACCCUCACUCCUCGCAGUGGGGGACGGAGCUGGCGUAUGAAACAGGAGCCUAACAAACCCCGACCUUCCCCGCGUCUUUGCCUAGAACUCCCGGAUUUCAAACCGGGUGGAUAUCAGAGGAGAACGUGGGACCUCAAAGCGGAGGCUGAUUAAAGGGGCCGCAUCCCAGAGAUGCGCCACUCCUGUCAAAACAAACUUUGCCGCGUCUGGAGAUGCUUGCCGUGUUUGAAACGUGUUCAUUAGAUAUGAAAAAGGCAAAGAUUUCACAUGAAGGAGACGCUGGCGUCUGUGGGCUGCACUUCUUCCCCACUCGGCAGUUUUGAAAAUGGCUGGAGAGAUGGGGGUCCCCGCCCGACACCCACCCGCCAGGUGUGACCGGGGGCUGGGACCCCGUGUGCAAUCGUGGCGGCAGAGGUGGGGACCGCAUGGACUCGAGGCGGCACGCGCUUCAACCCCUCAGCAGGAGGGAACUGAAAUUCUCUCUCCCAGCCUCAGUUUCCCCAGUGGUGCAACAGAGGGGUUGCACUUGAGGGUCCCCGGAGGCCUCCGCUCCACCUCGUGGAGCCUUGGCUUCUCUCUCUGGAAAACGGGGACAGGACAACUGACCCACAGGGGCAGGUGGAGGGGCUCUGGGAGGCCCCCUCGGGCCCCAAGAAGGAGAGGUGGACUGCAGCCAGGAGGGCGGGGGAGGGGGCAAAGCGAGCGAGCAAGUGAGG